AGUGAACGCUGGCGGUAGGCCUAACACAUGCAAGUCGAACGGCAGCACAGUAAGAGCUUGCUCUUACGGGUGGCGAGUGGCGGACGGGUGAGGAAUACAUCGGAAUCUACUUUUUCGUGGGGGAUAACGUAGGGAAACUUACGCUAAUACCGCAUACGACCUACGGGUGAAAGCAGGGGAUCUUCGGACCUUGCGCGAUUGAAUGAGCCGAUGUCGGAUUAGCUAGUUGGCGGGGUAAAGGCCCACCAAGGCGACGAUCCGUAGCUGGUCUGAGAGGAUGAUCAGCCACACUGGAACUGAGACACGGUCCAGACUCCUACGGGAGGCAGCAGUGGGGAAUAUUGGACAAAGGGCGCAAGCCUAAUCCAGCCAUACCGCGUGGGUGAAGAAGGCCUUCGGGUUGUAAAGCCCUUUUGUUGGGAAAGAAAAGCAGCAGGUUAAUACCCCGCUGUUCUGACGGUACCCAAAGAAUAAGCACCGGCUAACUUCGUG
rnacentral:rRNA from 1 species